GACGAACGCUGGCGGCGUGCUUAACACUUGCAAGUCGAACGGAAAGGCCCUGCUUUUGUGGGGUGCUCGAGUGGCGAACGGGUGAGUAACACGUGAGUAACCUGCCCUUGACUUUGGGAUAACUUCAGGAAACUGGGGCUAAUACCGGAUAGGAGCUCCUGCUGCAUGGUGGGGGUUGGAAAGUUUCGGCGGUUGGGGAUGGACUCGCGGCUUAUCAGCUUGUUGGUGGGGUAGUGGCUUACCAAGGCUUUGACGGGUAGCCGGCCUGAGAGGGUGACCGGCCACAUUGGGACUGAGAUACGGACCAGAAUCCUACGGGAGGCAGCAGUGGGGAAUAUUGCACAAUGGGCGGAAGCCUGAUGCAGCAACGCCGCGUGCGGGAUGACGGCCUUCGGGUUGUAAACCGCUUUCGCCUGUGACGAAGCGUGAGUGACGGUAAUGGGUAAAGAAGCACCGGCUAACUACGUG
rnacentral:rRNA from 1 species